UGGUGGUGAGACUGCAUAGUGAGAAUGUCAUCUAUGUAAUCGACUGCUAUAAAAGCUUAAUGCGGGGGAAUAAACUAUACAUCUACGUUCAAAAUAGAUAGGUUCGUUACAGGUCAAAUCCUUAAAGUGUGAUUUAGAGCUAUUGCUUCAUCAUUUUUAGUAAAGAAAAUGAAACAUUCAUCAAAUAUUUUUCAGGUAUCACAAAGCUGGAAUGUAUUGUUUUUUUAUACUUAAGGCCUUUUAUUACAAUGAUUU
rnacentral:misc_RNA from 1 species